GCGUCAGUAGCGCAACGAGUUAGAGCUCGCGCGCUCCUGCAUAGGGUGAGUUGCGGGUUCGAGUCCCGCCUGACGCA